rnacentral:pre_miRNA from 1 species
UUAACUAAAAUUUGUAUGGAGUUGGAACGUUUGCUGCCAGGGACGCUGUUCCAACUGCAUACAAAUUUGAGUUA